CAAUAGCGUAUAUUAAAGCUGUUGCGGUUAAAAAGCUCGUAGUUGGAUUUCUGUCAAGGACAACUGGUCCGCCCUCCGGGUGAGCACAUAGUUUGGUCUUGGCAUCUUGCUGGAAGCUGUUGCUGCACUUGGCUGUGUGGCGCAGCGUCCAGCACUUUCACUUUGAGGAAAUUGGAGUGUUUCAAGCAGGCACAUGCCUUUGGACACAGUAGCAUGGAAUAAUUAGAUUGGGCUUUUGCUCCAAUUUGUCGGUUUCUGGAGCUGAGGUGAGAAUUAAUGGGGAUUGUUGGGGGCAUCCGAAUUUAGCCGUCAGAGGUGAAAUUCUUGGAUCUGCUAAAGACGGACAACUGCGAAAGCGUUUGCCCAGGAUGUUGUCAUUGA
rnacentral:rRNA from 1 species